rnacentral:lncRNA from 1 species
ACGAAUGCUCAGUUUUCCCGUAGUGUUCGAUGCAGUGGUACAUAUGGGCUUAGCAUACCUUAUCUUGGCCCAUGCCCAGCAGCGCGUAAUGGGCUCAACGGCGAAUGGCCCAACAGUAAAAAACAAAACAGUGGCCCAAUACUUAUCCCAGCUCAAUUAAAAUUCAUCCUCCUCUCCAAUCUCUUCCACAACCUGACAACGAGUGGGGGAAUUCACAAAAUAGCACCGAUAUGCCUUGGUGGUCAGCAAACAGCACCAGUUCCUUCGUGUCUUCACAGAAUGGCAUCACAUGCUAAGCGAUGGUUCAUCAAACAGCACUACUACUUAUUUCCUCUUUUAUUUCAACGUUUCUGUUCUUUUCCACCGAAACUAAAAGGCCAACUUGCCCUUCCUCUUUCUCAACUCGUUACCCAGUACGCAGACUCAUUUUACUCCGAGCCUAACCACACCCCAGAUGGCAUGGCCGCUAGUGGCUGCUAACAACUCUAACCCCUAAAAUGAGAUCGGAAAGAAGUAGCGACCUGCAUGGAUAGAGUAGGAUGGGCGAUGAUUGCAUGGUGGGCACUGGGCAACGCGAGUGGAAGUGUGCUGACAGCACAGGCGCCGAUGGGAAGAAUGACGCCGGUAGCGCACUGAUGACGGCGGGAUGGUCAGCAACAUCGUACUGGAUGGUGAUUGGUGGAAGAUAUAUCGUAUUUGUAGGGUGAGUUCACAUCCCGACCUUGAUCUAAGUCUUUAGUUUUGGCCUCAAUUGGUGUGUAGGAAAGACGAUGAGUUUACUUUGCAUGCUUAGAUUAUUUCAACCUAUAUACAACUAUUCUUGAUGAUGGGAGUAGAGUUGAGUUUGAGGAUAAAGAAUAUGUGUUGUUUGUAAAUAUUGGCGGUGGAAAGGUAAUCUAACAUUAAAUUGAUGAUCUUUGCAAGGAGGUAGAAAAGGGAGGCCAGCAUACUUGAUGUAGCACUAGCCCGAUCUUCUGAAAGGUAGUGAUAAAUUCGAUUGGUUGAGACUCAAUGUUGACGAUCCGGGCUUCUAAACAAAUAUGAUUCUAAUCCCUGCAACUGCUACACCACUGUUCCGUUGGUUAUCAACCAAGCACAACUUGAUUGACCUCACCGAGAAGGUUUUCCCUGCAAGCGAAUCGAAG